AAGGUUUUCUCUGGCGGGGCCUUGUUGUUAACGACCAUGGAUGGUGAGGAUUUUCCAUCCCCUGUGAAUGCGGACGCAGUUAAAAAAUACUUCGUAUAAUAGACCAGCUGGACGAAAAGAAUAAAAUAGUCCAGGCAAAAAUGGGCAUCCUGGCGAACCAAAAAAAAAUGAAUGAAAAGGUUCGGGCAAAAAUGAGGGAAAAAAGAGAAAAACUAUACACCCGGCAAGUCGAGAACCUGAAAAGGCGGCUUGGGCAAAAAAGGGUAUCCCGGUGGACUGAAAACCCGAAAGGGCGGUCCAGGCAAAAGAGGGAUUGAAACGAACAAC
rnacentral:lncRNA from 1 species